AGUUUGAUCCUGGCUCAGAUUGAACGCUGGCGGAUGCUUUACAUGCAAGUCGAACGGCAGCACGGACUUCGGUCUGGUGGCGAGUGGCGAACGGGUGAGUAAUGUAUCGGAACGUGCUCAGUAGCGGGAUAACUACGAAAGCGUAGCUAAUACUGCAUACGCCCUUCGGGGGAAAGUGGGGACCUUCGGGCCUCGCACUAUUAGAGCAGCCGAUAUCGGAUUAGCUAGUUGUGGGCAACGGCUCACCAAGGUGACGAUCCGUAGCUGGUUUUGAGGAAUGACCAGCCACACUGGGACUGAGACACGGCCUGCAGAGCUCCUACGGGAGGCAGCAGUGGGGGAAUUUUGAUAACAACCCCUGAUCCAGCCAUCCCGCGUGUGCAUAAGGCUCAAGCAAAAAGACCCUUGCAGGAGGCGAAACGGCACGAGCACACCCCGUGCAAAUGACGGUACCUGCAGAAUAAGCACCGUUAACCACGUGCCAGCAGCCGCGGUAAUACGUAGGGUGCAAGCGUUAAUCGGAAUUACUGGGCGUAAAGCGUGCGCAGGCGGUUCGGAAAGAAAGAUGUGAAAUCCCAGAGCUUAACUUUGGAACUACUUUAACUACUGAGCUAGAGUGUGUCAGAGGGAGGUGGACCCGCGUGUGGCAGUGAAAUGCGUAGAUAUGCGGAGGAACACCGAUGGCGAAGGCAGCUCCGGGGAUAACACUGGAUGCUCAUGCACGAGCAGAGCAAACAGGAUUAGAUACCCUGGUAGUCCACGCCCUAAAACGAUGUCAACUAGCUGCUGGGGCCUCUGGCCUGCAGAGGCAAAUUAACGGCAGAAGUUUAACUCACCUGGUGGGGAGUACGGUCGCAAGAUUAAAACUCAAAGGAAUUAUCAGACUCCGCACAAGCGGUGGAUGAUGUGGAUUAAUUCCGAUGCAAAGGCGAAAACCUUACCUACCUGACAUGUCUGGAAUCCCGAAGAGAUUUGGGAGUGCUCGCAAGAGAACCGGAACACAGGUGCUGUAUAUUGCUGUCACCGUGUCGUGAGAUGUUGGUUAAGUCCUGCAACGAGCGCAACCCUUUGCCAGUUGCUACGAAAGGGCACUUCCCAAUGAGACUGCCGGUGACAAACCGGAGGAAGGUGGGGAUGACGUCAAGUCCUCAUGGCCCUUAUGGGUAGGGCUUCACACGUCAUACAAUGGUCGGGACAGAGUGGUCGCCAACUCAUGAGGGGAGCCAAUCCCAGAAACUGAUCGUAGUCCGGAUCGCAGUCCGCAACUCGACUGCGUGAAGUCGGAAUCGCUAGUAAUCGCGGAUCAGCAUGUCGCGGUGAAUACGUUCCUGGUCUUGUACACACUGCCCGUCACACCAUGGGAGUGGGUUUUACCAGAAGUAGUUAGCCUAACCGUAAGGAGGGCGAUUACCAUUUGGUAGGAUUCAUGACUGGGGUGAAGCCGUAACAAGGUAA
rnacentral:rRNA from 1 species